CUUCUAGUGCCUCCAUAGGAAAGAAUGGAUCAACUCAGUCAACUGCACAGGCUAAAAAAGCUAGAACACCAAGAACUAGGACUUCAGCCGGUCUCAGACUAGAGGAAAUUGACCGACCGCUUAUAGUUCCCAAAGGCGUGUUAUGGGAAAGGCACCCAUACACCGCUCGUGAUCCAUCAACGGUGCAAGGUGCCUUAGUGCGGCAGAUGUAUCCACCGCCAAUUGGUCCAAAAAAUGACCAGAAACCAGUAUUGUGUUGGGAGGACUACAAGUGGUCCCCUGGCCCAGAAGUAAGACCAGCAGCUUCCAAAAUUGUGGAAGAAUUUUGGUGGCGUUUCAAGUGUGACCCAUUGGAGCAAGAGAAGGCAGAUGGUGUUUUGGAGGAGAACUUUACUAGGAAAGUGAAGCAGAUGCUACAUGAGGAAAAGGCGGCAGCCAUCAAAAGAUUAAUG